rnacentral:rRNA from 1 species
AGCGAACGCUGGCGGCAGGCCUAACACAUGCAAGUCGAACGAAGCCUUCGGGCUUAGUGGCGGACGGGUGAGUAACACGCGGGAACGUACCUUUUGGUUCGGAACAACUCAGGGAAACUUGAGCUAAUACCGGAUGAGCCCUUAGGGGGAAAGAUUUAUCGCCGAAAGAGCGGCCCGCGUUAGAUUAGCUAGUUGGUGAGGUAAAGGCUCACCAAGGCAACGAACUAUAGCUGGUCUGAGAGGAUGAUCAGCCACACUGGGACUGAGACACGGCCCAGACUCCUACGGGAGGCAGCAGUGGGGAAUCUUGCGCAAUGGGCGAAAGCCUGACGCAGCCAUGCCGCGUGAAUGAUGAAGGUCUUAGGAUUGUAAAAUUCUUUUACCAGGGACGAUAAUGACGGUACCUGGAGAAAAAGCCCCGGCUAACUUCGUGCCAGCCGCCGCAGUAAUAC